UACAGAGGGUGCGAGCGUUAAUCGGAGUUACUGGGCGUAAAGGGCGCGUAGGCGGUAAGAUGUGUGUGAUGUGAAAGCCCCGGGCUUAACCUGGGAAGUGCAUCGCAAACUAUCUAACUAGAGUAUAUGAGAGGGUGGCGGAAUUUCCGGUGUAGCGGUGAAAUGCGUAGAGAUCGGAAGGAACGUCAAUGGCGAAGGCAGCCACCUGGCAUAAUACUGACGCUGAGGCGCGAAAGCGUGGGUAGCGAACAGGAUUAGAACCUCGU
rnacentral:rRNA from 1 species